GACGAACGCUGGCGGUGUGCUUAACACAUGCAAGUCGAACGGUAAGGCCCUUUCGGGGGUACACGAGUGGCGCACGGGUGAGUAACACGUGAGUAACCUGCCCUCAUCUCUGGGAUAACAGUCGGAAACGGUUGCUAAUACUGGAUAUGAGCUUGCAAGGCAUCUUGUGGGUUGGAAAGAUUUUUUUGGUUGGGGGUGGACUCGCGGCCUAUCAGCUUGUUGGUGAGGUAGUGGCUCACCAAGGCUUCGACGGGUAGCCGGCCUGAGAGGGCGACCGGCCACAGUGGGACUGAGAUACGGCCCAAACUCCUACGGGAGGCAGCAGUGGGGAAUAUUGCACAAUGGACGGAAGUCUGAUGCAGCAACGCCGCGUGCGGGAGGACGGCCUUCGGGUUGUAAACCGCUUUCAAUUGUGACGAAGCUUUUUGUGACGGUAGCAGUAGAAGAAGCACCGGCUAACUACGUG
rnacentral:rRNA from 1 species